GUUUCUUUAGGUAGCAUGCAUAUUCAUUCAAACAUGGCAACUAUCCUGAAGCAAUAUAGAAAAAUGUUUAACAAUUUGUUUCUUUUUUGGUAUGAAACAUAAUUAUCCAUCCAAGCAACGCAAACAACAAAUCCAAAACAAUAUAAAAUGAUAGUCCAGUUCACGUGUUGUUGCUUUUAGCUGUCAUGCAUACUGCUAACGUUUUCCAUUAAAUC
rnacentral:lncRNA from 1 species